GAUGAACGCUGGCGGCGUGCUUAAUACAUGCAAGUCGAGCGAAAAGACGCUGCGCUUGCUCCUCUGUCGUUUGCGGCGCACGGGUGUGUAACACGUGGAUCCUCUACCUAUCAGACUGGGAUAACUACGGGAAACCGGAUCUAAUACCGGAUAAUAUAUUGAAGCGCAUGGUUCAAUAGUGAAAGUCGGCUUUGCUGUCUCUUAUCGCGGCUUCCCCGCGGCAUUAGCUAGUUGGUACGGUAACGGCUUAUCACGGCUACGAUGCGUGGCCGACGUGCGAGAGGGAUCGGCGACACGGGAGCGUAGACGGGGACCAGACGCCUACGGGAGGCAGCAGUAGGGAAUCUGCCGCAAUGGGCGAAAGCCUGACGGAGCAACGCCGCGUGAGUGAUGAAGGCCUUCGGUGCGUAAAACUCGGUUAUUAGUAAAAAACAAAUGUGGAAGUAACUAUGCACGUCUUGACGGUACCUAAUCAGAAAGCCCCGGCUAACUACGUG
rnacentral:rRNA from 1 species